ACCUAAGGCUAUAGUAAUGUGAUAACAACUGAUCUCCUCUAAUCUCAGAAGGUAAGCAGGACAGUGCCUUCUUCUCUGGGGUCCAGCCCAAGAAUGAGAUCCUGGCUCAUUAGUCU
rnacentral:rRNA from 1 species